rnacentral:rRNA from 1 species
GGAAGCAGCUUGCUGCUUCGCUGACGAGUGGCGGACGGGUGAGUAAUGUCUGGGAAACUGCCUGAUGGAGGGGGAUAACUACUGGAAACGGUAGCUAAUACCGCAUAACGUCGCAAGACCAAAGAGGGGGACCUUCGGGCCUCUUGCCAUCGGAUGUGCCCAGAUGGGAUUAGCUAGUAGGUGGGGUAACGGCUCACCUAGGCGACGAUCCCUAGCUGGUCUGAGAGGAUGACCAGCCACACUGGAACUGAGACACGGUCCAGACUCCUACGGGAGGCAGCAGUGGGGAAUAUUGCACAAUGGGCGCAAGCCUGAUGCAGCCAUGCCGCGUGUAUGAAGAAGGCCUUCGGGUUGUAAAGUACUUUCAGCGGGGAGGAAGGGAGUAAAGUUAAUACCUUUGCUCAUUGACGUUACCCGCAGAAGAAGCACCGGCUAACUCCGUGCCAGCAGCCGCGGUAAUACGGAGGGUGCAAGCGUUAAUCGGAAUUACUGGGCGUAAAGCGCACGUAGGCUGUUGUGUAAGUCAGGGGUGAAAUCCCACGGCUCAACCGUGGAACUGCCUUUGAUACUGCACGACUUGAAUCCGGGAGAGGGUGGCGGA